rnacentral:rRNA from 1 species
AUGAACGCUGGCGGCGUGCCUAAUACAUGCAAGUCGAGCGAACGGACGAGAAGCUUGCUUCUCUGAUGUUAGCGGCGGACGGGUGAGUAACACGUGGAUAACCUACCUAUAAGACUGGGAUAACUUCGGGAAACCGGAGCUAAUACCGGAUAAUAUUUUGAACCGCAUGGUUCAAAAGUGAAAGACGGUCUUGCUGUCACUUAUAGAUGGAUCCGCGCUGCAUUAGCUAGUUGGUAAGGUAACGGCUUACCAAGGCAACGAUGCAUAGCCGACCUGAGAGGGUGAUCGGCCACACUGGAACUGAGACACGGUCCAGACUCCUACGGGAGGCAGCAGUAGGGAAUCUUCCGCAAUGGGCGAAAGCCUGACGGAGCAACGCCGCGUGAGUGAUGAAGGUCUUCGGAUCGUAAAACUCUGUUAUUUGGGAAGAACAUAUGUGUAAGUAACUGUGCACAUCUUGACGGUACCUAAUCAGAAAGCCACGGCUAACUACGUG